rnacentral:rRNA from 1 species
GAUGAACGCUGGCGGCGUGCCUAAUACAUGCAAGUCGAGCGAACAGAUAAGGAGCUUGCUCCUUUGACGUUAGCGGCGGACGGGUGAGUAACACGUGGAUAACCUACCUAUAAGACUGGGAUAACUUCGGGAAACCGGAGCUAAUACCGGAUAACAUAUUGAACCGCAUGGUUCAAUAGUGAAAGGCGGCUUUGCUGUCACUUAUAGAUGGAUCCGCGCCGUAUUAGCUAGUUGGUAAGGUAACGGCUUACCACGGCAACGAUACGUAGCCGACCUGAGAGGGUGAUCGGCCACACUGGAAGUGAGACACGGUCCAGACUCCUACGGGAGGCAGCAGUAGGGAAUCUUGCGCAAUGGGCGAAGGCCUGACGGAGCAACGCGGCGUGGGUGAUGGAGGUCUUCGGAUCGUAAGACUCUGUUAUCAGGGAAGAACAAAUGUGUAAGUAACUGUGCACAUCUUGACGGUACCUGAUCAGAAAGCCACGGCUAACUCCGUG